rnacentral:rRNA from 1 species
AAGCGGCAAAAGCUCAAAUUUGAAAGCUAGCACCUUCGGUGUUCGCGUUGUAAUUUGAAGAUAGUUUCCUUGAGUAGUCCUUUAUCUAUGUUCCUUGGAACAGGACGUCAUAGAGGGUGAGAACCCCGUAUGAUUUUGGAUACUACUCUUUGUGGGAUUCUAUCGAAGAGUCGAGUUGUUUGGGAAUGCAGCUCUAAGUGGGUGGUAAAUUCCAUCUAAAGCUAAAUAUUGGCGAGAGACCGAUAGCGAACAAGUACAGUGAUGGAAAGAUGAAAAGAACUCUGAAGAGAGAGUGAAAAAGUACGUGAAAUUGCUGAAAGGGAAGGGCUUGAGGUCAGACUUGGUGUUUAAUGAUUAUCAGUUCUUCUUGGACUGUGCACUCGUUUUUCACCGGGCCAAUAUCAGUUUUAGCGGUAGAGUACCCCUUGAAAUGUGGCUUCCUUCGGGGAGUGUUAUAGUCUUGGGGAGAUCUACUUGCUGGGACUGAGGACUGCGCUUCGGCAAGGAUAUUGGCGUAAUGACCUUAAGCCGCCCGUCUUGACC